rnacentral:rRNA from 1 species
CGGGAAAAGCUCAAAUUUAAAAUCUGGCAGUCUUUGGCUGUCCGAGUUGUAAUCUAGAGAAGCAUUAUCCGCGCUGGACCGUGUACAAGCCUCCUGGAAUGGAGCAUCAUAGAGGGUGAGAAUCCCGUCUUUGACAUGGACUACCAGUGCUUUGUGAUGCGCUCUCAAA